GAUGAACGCUGGCGGCGUGCCUAAUACAUGCAAGUCGAGCGAACGGACGAGAAGCUUGCUUCUCUGAUGUUAGCGGCGGACGGGUGAGUAACACGUGGAUAACCUACCUAUAAGACUGGGAUAACUUCGGGAAACCGUAGCUAAUACCGGAUAAUAUUUUGAACCGCAUGGUUCAAAAGUGAAAGACGGUCUUGCUGUCACUUAUAGAUGGAUCCGCGCUGCAUUAGCUAGUUGGUAAGGUAACGGCUUACCAAGGCAACGAUGCAUAGCCGACCUGAGAGGGUGCUCGGCCACACUGGAACUGAGACACGGUCCAGACUCCUACGGGUGGCAGCAGUAGGGAAUCUUCCGCAAUGGGCGAAAGCCUGACGGAGCAACGCCGCGUGAGUGAUGAAGGUCUUCGGAUCGUAAAACUCUGUUAUUAGGGAAGAACAUAUGUGUAAGUAACUGUGCACAUCUUGACGGUACCUAAUCAGAAAGCCACGGCUAACUACGU
rnacentral:rRNA from 1 species